rnacentral:rRNA from 1 species
GAGUUUGAUCUUGGCUCAGAUUGAACGCUGGCGGCAUGCCUUACACAUGCAAGUCGAACGGCAGCACGGGAGCUUGCUCCUGGUGGCGAGUGGCGAACGGGUGAGUAAUGCAUCGGAACGUAUCCUGGAGUGGGGGAUAACGUAGCGAAAGUUACGCUAAUACCGCAUAUUCUGUGAGCAGGAAAGCGGGGACCUUCGGGCCUCGCGCUCUUGGAGCGGCCGAUGUCGGAUUAGCUAGUUGGUGAGGUAAAGGCUCACCAAGGCGACGAUCCGUAGCAGGUCUGAGAGGAUGAUCUGCCACACUGGAACUGAGACACGGUCCAGACUCCUACGGGAGGCAGCAGUGGGAAUUUUGGACAAUGGGGGCAACCCUGAUCCAGCCAUGCCGCGUGAGUGAAGAAGGCCU